rfam:Triticum urartu cultivar G1812 contig1129073, whole genome shotgun sequence.
GUGCUACUCUCUCAGUUCGGAAUUACUUGUCGCAGAAAUGGAUGUAUCUAGACGUAUUUUAGUUCUAGAUACAUCCAUUUCCGAGACAAGUAAUUCCGGACGGAGGGAGUAGUUA